rnacentral:rRNA from 1 species
GACGAACGCUGGCGGCGUGCUUAACACAUGCAAGUCGAACGGAAAGGCCCUGCGUUUGUGGGGUGCUCGAGUGGCGAACGGGUGAGUAACACGUGAGUAACCUGCCCUUGACUUUGGGAUAACUUCAGGUAACUGGGGCUAAUACCGGAUAGGAGCUCCUGCUGGAUGGUGGGGGGUGGAAAGUUUCGGCGGUUGUGGAUGGACUCGCGGCUGAUCAGCUUGUUGGUGGGGUAGUGGCUUACCAAGGCUUUGACGGGUAGCCGGCCUGAGAGGGUGACCGGCGACAUUGGGACUGAGAUACGGCCCAGACUCCUACGGGAGGCAGCAGUGGGGAAUAUGGCACAGUGGGCGGAAGCCUGAUGCAGCAACGCCGCGUGCGGGAUGACGGCCUUCGGGUUGUAAACCGCUUUCGCCUGUGACGAAGCGUGAGUGACGGUAAUGGGUAAAGAAGCACCGGCUAACUACGUG